rnacentral:rRNA from 11 species
CAUUUAUUUAAUCCAACUCUGAAGACACCAGGUCCUGUCCAAUCUUGGAAGCUAAGCAGGGCCAGGCCUGGUUAGUACUUGGCUAGGAGACUGUCAACAAAUACCAUCUUGUUGUCAAAGGC